UUUUCCUCUGCGUUUGAGUGUUUGUACGUGUGUGCGUGUGCGUGUGUGUGUGUGUGUGUGUGUGUGUGUGUGUGUGUGUGUGUGAACCUAUGGUAUGAGUUGUUUCUGCCAGUUGAAUCUCUUGGAACCCGCUCCAAUUCUGCAGCUGUAUCCUAGCAGUUUCUUCCUAAAUGGGUACGUAAAUAACCAUGUUUUUCGGGGGUCGUACAGCUCCUUGUGUUUCUCAACUUCCAUAAUCAAUUUAAAGUCAUCCAUCUUAACUGCUUGCCUCAGACCUUCUGCCUCUCUGUCCUGUUUGCUCCAGUGAAAAGACACCCAAAACCACACACCCCUUCACAUGGUCACACAUGCACACAAGUUCGAUGUGUGUGUAUGUGUGUGCGUGUUCGUGUGGUUUUUCUGCAGUGUCUGUUUACGAGUACAUUUGACUAUUGUAGAAUUUUAUUUUGAAAUGCUUUAUUUUGUUAACUUUACCGGCCUGCCUCUUAUGUCUAGGUUUGACUUCCUGCCAGAAUUGACGCGAUUCACCUGCGGCUCGCGAAAAAAAUUGAGCCGACGCCGAAAUGAUCGCUGCACGGCGCGGGCUGGAGCGCCGGCGCGAGGCGAUUAGCGGCGCUUCGGCGGCCCAUGUGUUCUAUAGAAUUGCUUAACAAGGGCGCCGAAUGAAGGCGGUCCCAUUUUCGCGGCGCUUCGCGGCGCUUCCGCGACCAGUGUGUCCCAGGCGUGAGUCUUGCUCAGGCCAGUCGGCGCGCUGUCCUGAAAAAAAUAAACAUGUUGGCCUUUCAUUUGAUGAAAAAGUAUUAAGUUGCAAUUUCAAACUAAAUUAUGCUUAUUAGUAUUUAGAUUUUUUACUUUAAUCCAAUGUUAUUGACAGCAGGACACACAAAGUGAAAUUUUCUAUUUAGAAUGAAGCACUUCAAUUAGCUUGAGUCCAGUUUGCACACGCACGUUCUUCAGGGUUCUGGCGGACCUUUUUCGCAUCCUAGUCAGAGCGUCCAUUUUAGAAUCACGUCCACGUGGAAAGGGGUAAGAGCAAAUGAACAAAAUAUGUAUUUUAACUGAUGUUAGUACACCGAAUUUUUAUCCGAUAUUAUUUCAUCAUAUCUCAUGAAUGGACGUACUUUCCAGCCAACAAGCAAGUUACUAAACAGAGAUACCGUAAAACGUUCGGAGGAUUCGGCUCACUUGACUGCAGUGAAGGAGAAGCUUCUGAAGAAAGGUAAGAUUUAAGCUAAUACAAAGAGACUUGUUAAAACAAAGUCGGCAACAGCUUAUAACUUAAGUAAAGGUUGUGCUUGUUAUUUUACAGAUCAAUGCUGAGUUCCUGCGAGUUACAGCAGUUCCGUUGGAGGCAACAUUUUUGGCACCGCUGGACAAACAUUCUACCAAACUGCAAUAGGUCAUCAGGAGCAAGGGAGGACGUGUGAAAGAGCAGACCACUGGGAUCUUGGAAGUUUUAGAUGAGACUGUUGACAUCACCAUGAAAAGAGAGGCUGUACUCAAAUCUCUGAGCUACCUGGGUGAACCUGUUGAGAACCUUGUUAAAGAAUGCCAGGAUGUGCAGGAGAAUGUCCAACACCAACUGGAAACCAUGGCAAUGUUCGUCAUCAGGAAAGAGGAUCCUUUUUAUCCACCGAAAGACAAAACGAUAGUCAUCGAUGGAGCACAGUCCUGACAGAUGUGUCUUCUGUUGCAACAGCUGUUGCCAUAUUCUUUGGACUGAUAUACGCCCUCACCUUAAAGUAUCCAAAAUAUCUGGUCUGGAAUUCAUACAGAAGGUUCUGAUGGAGCUCGUUGACAAAAAGAUGUCUUCAAAACUUCACAAGCUGAGCACUCUGGUUUAGAGAUGUUGAACUCCGCUUUGAGUCUUCCAUUGUUGCAUCUAUAAAAAAAAGGACUUUAGAUCCUUUCGUGAUGUUUGUUCUGCUAUUGCUGUCGCAAAAAAAUAAAAAAUAAAAAAGACUCAAGUACAGAGACUAUUGUUCAAUACUUUGUUAAAAACUUAAGGAGCAAUCCAAAACCUAAUGCAGUGUUUUUACUCAGCCAAAGAAAGGAUCGCUUGCAUUUGAAAGUUCUGGAACUGACAGUCACUAAUGUACCUGGUAACAUUUUACCCUGAUUUAGUUGAAAAUGAGACAAUAGUUGAUUUAGUUUUAUGAACAUUUUAGUAUUAUUUUUAGGUAAUAUUUGUUGCCAGAUUUAAUUCAACAAUUUUUUAUUUCAUUGAAUCAUUUGUUUGAUUUUCUGAGUGAAUAGUUUGGUUCAAUUCAGCAGGAUUGAUCUGGACAAAAUGUAAACAUCUCAAUGAUUCUGAUUGCUAAUACUAUAUCUUUCAUAAUACAAAAUUACAGUGCUGUUAAAAAAAUGCAUGUUAAAAAAAUCUAGGGGCAUUGUUUUGGCUUACAUGUUCUUUCAACAAUAAAUGUUUAUAGACAAAAAAUGUGCUGCUGGGUGUAAAUCAAUGCAAGUGUAAAAGGAAUCUCAUAUUUACAAUACAAUCACAAUUAUUUAUUUGAUACAAUUUAAAAAAGUUACAUUUGCUCAAACAUUCAGAAUUAGUUUCUAUCAAUUUUAAAAUAUCAGGUAAAAAAUACAACUUAAUUUUUUUUGAUUUGAAGGAACUUGAUAUUAUUGAUUUGCCUUGACUACAAACAUUAGUUUACAUGAAAUUAAAAUGUUGAGGUUACAAAAACUUAAUUUUGUUACAUCAAGUUAAUGCUAAAAUAUUAGGUGUGACCCAUUACUUCAAAAAUUUUAAGUUAAGGCAGUGUUAAAUUUCUUUCAGUAUACUCACACACAAACAUUUGCAUAUACGCUCAUUCAGUCAUGAAUGCUCACACGGGGCUGUUGUACUCUGAAACUCAGGAUGGGAACAGAAAAAAAAAACAAAAAACAAAACCACAUUUACUAUGACGUCGGUGCCGUUGUUGCUCCAACCUAUUUCCAGGAGAGCCAGCCUCCCUCACAGGAACUGGCCUGUCUGAAUGUUUUAUCUCGAGUAGAAUAGCUCACAUCAAACUCAUUCUUCUACUAGGAGCUUUCUCUCUAUGCUCGUGUGGUUUUGCAAACAGUGUGUUCAGAUACAGACUUAGUGUUGUAAAAAUUAAAACACUUAUCUUAUUGUGUGCUAUUGGCUUCUGGGCUAACCUUGACUUUCUCUUAACACAUCAAUGGAUUUUGAGUCAAUAGUAGCUUUAAUGAACAAUCUAAACAAUACUAAGAAUCUGGUUUGAGUUCAGAAUGUUUGUGUUGAUGCAAAACUUAAUAAACAAAUGAAAUAAGCGAAUUAAUAAUAAUGAUUUAUCCCUUUUAACGUGUCACAUCUCGGAGCAGGACAUAACAUUAUUUGUUAUUUAUGUAUUUAACCCUCCCACUCUCCUAAUGGGUGUGACCCUGCAAGGAAAGUUGACCAUUGAGCAGGAUUGAUGGUUUAUCCCUUGGGUCCAUGUGGCAGGGGUGAGGAGUGAGCACCAACUCACCCCUGCCACGUGGACCUCAAGGAAUAAACCAUUAAUCCUGCUCAAUGGUCAUCUUUCCUCACGGGGUCACUCAUAAAGACAGUGGGAGGGUUAUCUUGUUAAAGAGGACAUGUUAUGCAAAACCAUGUGGGGAGCUACUGCCUCUACACUCCAAACGUGACAAAAACAACCAUUUUCUGUUAGCAUUUGGUUUUAAGAAUUAUGUGCGUAAAACAAGCUGAUUCAGAAGGUCCCCAUUUGUGGUGUCACAAACAAGUAAAGUAGAAUUGUACCACCUCUCGCCUGUCGAGUCUGGAGGAACGAUAAUUUGAGACCCUCCUUCUCAGCUUGUAGCAUCCAAUAACGGGAGUAGGUGGACGUGGCCAGAACCAGUUUGUUUUUUCAAAUGCCAGUACACACACACACACACACACACACACACACACACACACACACACACACACACACACACACACACACACACACACACACACACACACACACACACACACACCUGCUGAACUCAACUUUAUCUCUGUGGAUCCUUUGGACUUCCUCACCUGUACCCUGUGCUUAUUGAUCCUGUUAUAAACACGACGCUAAGCAGCUGCUCAAUUAUUCACUCUGGUUAAAUAGAGCUGUUCCAUUAUUCAGAAGUGUGGCAUGGUGUAAUUAAUAAUGUAGAGAUAUGUGACAGGCUGGGUGGCAUUUCACAAAGUGACAGCACAUAAUUUGCUCUCCACCUUCACCCACUCUCCGUCUUUGUCAUCGCCGCCCUUCGUGUUUCUGGUACACCACGUUGGAGAUGGAUCUUCACCUUCACCUGAACAUCUACCUGCAUCACUUUUUCAGUUAGUUUUUUCUUAAUUUCUCUUUUAACUCAUCAACUCUUCUCAGCUGAUGGUUGACAAACACUCUGAGACAAACUCUGGACACCUGAAGGGUUCCUGACUAAGCAUGCGUGGACUUGUAGACUUUAUAAAGUUUGAUGUCUUUGUGAAUAUGACGUGCAUGAGAUAUCUUUAUUCGUUAUCCAUUUUGGAGUUGCAAAGAAAUCCCACAAAUCUCAAAUUCUGCAGUGGCUUUUUUUUCAAAUCAUUCCAUGAUGGAGAGAUUAGAAUUUGUCGUAGUUCACUCAGUUUUGACCGGACUCUUGCCCUUUCAAUUCCUUCAGAGCACAAGUAUAAAUAAAGACUUGGUUGAACCUUUUCCUUUUAUUGUUUUCAUCUGUUUUACAUCUUUCUUUUUUUCUGUUAAACAUUUUCCGUGUCUUUUUAAAUUGGAUUUGACUUAUUUAAUUAUAUCGUAUGACGUUCAGAAGUGCCUGGCAACCGCAACGCACACUAGUGGCAAAGUGCCAACUUAAGCAGUAGCUCAACAGGUUGAGCGGGUUGCCCAGUAAUUGAAAGGUUGCAGGUUCAAUCCUGGCUCCGGACAGAGAAUUCUGCUGUCUUGUCCUUGGGCAAGACACUUAUCCCACCUUGCCUGCUGGUGGUGGUCGGAGGGACCGGUGGCGCCUGUGCUCGGCAGCCUCGCCUCUGCCAGUGCGCCCCAGGGCAGCUGUGGCUACAUCGUAGCUCAUCACCAUCCGUGUGUGUAUGUGUGUGUGAAUGGAUGAAUGAUACACUGUAGUGUAAAGCGCUUUGGAGUCCUUACUCUGAGAGGCGCUAUACAAGUGCGGGUCAUUUAUCAUUUAUCAUUACGCAGAGAAGGGACAUCCCCUUCAAGCACGUUAACGUGACGUUUAACAGCGCCAAUGUCAGUGGAAUUAAUGGGUAAGAAAGCCAAGUUACAGACAGAAAAAAAUUGCACCAGCAAUGGAAAAGAGCUCUGGAAGGAAACCCAUCUCCCUACAGUUGGCACAAGAAAUGUCAGCAAUUAUGUUACAAAUCCUAAAUCUUAUUAUUCUAUAAGCAACUUAAUGAUGUUUGUGUUUUUGUCAUCACAGAUUUGUCAACAAAAUGACAGGAAAUCAGUGAACCUUUAUGCAUGAAGAACAGAAAUGUAUAAUAGGAAAUCCAUCACAUGUCUUCAGUUUUGAAGGUGACUGAUGGAUACUUUAAUCUUCCUGAAACACGGGCUUGUUUCUAUCAGAUGGUUAAAAUCAAGUUGAAACUGAUACAAAAACACGUCCCAAAAAGAGAAAAUUGGUCUUUUCUGAUUAAAUAUUUUUUCUCUAUUUUGCACGAUGCUACUGUACAAACAGCUCCUUCACUAAAGCUGAAGAUGGCAUCUGUGCGGUGGUUACAGCUACAUUUUUAUGUACAAUGAUGAGUCAGGGAGACAAUUAGAAGUGACUUGAACGUUUCUUCUAAAGGCUGCUGUUGUAGUAGGUCUGCAUGAGGCAGCCUGGCUGCCACUUGUUUUUAUCCUUUUGACAAUAAGAUGUGAGCACAGCACAGCACUCUGGGCCCCAUGGCGGUUCCACUGCGGGGUUCCACUAGGGCUCAGUCCCCUCUAUAGCAAAGUUGUCCAAAAAGUCACCAGAUGUGUUUUAAAUUCAUUAACAUGAACUAUAUUUAAAUGUUUUCUGGCUUUAAAACUAAUAUUUUAUUAAUAUUCAUGUAAUUAUGUUACAUUUUAGAGUGAAAUAGUGAAUUGCCAUUUUGCAAGUACUAAAAGUGAAGUAAACUUUUCUAACCAAGCUUAACUCAUUCACUGCCAGCCGUUUCCUGAUCAGAAAAGCCCUUCACUGCCAGCAUUUUUCAGUGUUUUCACUCAUUUUUUUAAGAGUCACAGAACGUUGCGCACUAUGACGAUGUCAACGCCAAAACUAACAAAACUAAGAGUAGACUUAAUUCUUGCAUCAGGAAGAAUCUGCACAUUUCGAGCGUUAUCCGUUCUUUCAUAAUCCGUUGUCGAAUUGUGAUCGGCAGAAGCUUUUCCGGUUCGUACCUCACUUUUUUUUACAGCAGCAGCCCAAAACGAUCUCCUAACACAUGGUUUUCUGCUUCCUGAUCACGUGACAUGUGUGAUGUAUGAUGUAUGUGCCUCUUUCCUCUGUUCUAAAUGACUUGGACAUGUCUUUAAAAGCACAACAAGUAGAAGCGCUAAAAGUAUUUCCUCUAAAGAAAGAUGUUUGCACUGUCGCCAGACGCCAUUUCUGACUACAGCUAAAAAACUAAAGUGUUGCGCAGUUCAGUCUGCAUUUUCGUCUUUUUUCUGAUUGGUUAUUUUUGAGCUGGCUAGUCCCGCCCCUCAUCUGCCUCUUUGCCUGUGAGUAACCAGACUCUUUCUCUGUGCAGAAUUAAACAGAGGAUGAGUCUGGCAGGCCAGGCUAGCAUCAGUUAAAAAGCUUUUAACUGGUACUCUUCUGUUUAAUUUCAAAAAUCUUUACAGAUGAGAAAUUAAUGACAAUUCGAUGCAUUCCUACAUUCCUAUUUAAUGUUCAUGCACAGGAAACGUGAGGAAACCUCACUUCUUACCUUCUCUAUUUCAAAAGAAAAUAAAAAUUAACAUUAAUAUUUUGUGGUAUAUAAUAAAAUGACUGUCUUUUUUACUGUCUUUAUCUGGCCUCACCUUCUGUGAUUUCCUGCACCCUUUCUUUCCUCUGGUUUCUUUUCUUAACUUUUCUAUAUCUACCGGGAUGAUUUAAAUAAAAACAGAUGUUGUACAUUUUUUUUAUCACCUAAACAAACACCUGCAUGUGUGGAAAGCUGUAUUUUAGACACUAGCUGUUAUGGGAAACAUCUUUUUUAUUCAGAAGAUGCUUUUGUAACAUUUUGUAAUUGGUUGCUUUUAAUUAAGUGUCAAUAAACUAUAAAGGUAUUCAAUAAAAUGGAAUAUUCCAUAAACUGUGGAUUAUAACUAUUAUUGAACCUUUAAUAUAUCCAAAGCAACUUAGUUUUAAAACUAAUUUGCAUUUUUUUAAAUCUGUGGAAGGAAACUGGUGUUCCCAUGCACGAGGAAAACAUGCAAGCUCCAUGAGGAGAGGCCAGGUGAAUUUUGAACCUGCAACCUUCUGGCUGCGAGACUUACGUAUAAUACCAAAUGCAAUCAUGUAUGUGGUCUUAUGAAUCUUAUGCUAGAUGAAGCAGACAUAUUUAGUUAAAAUGAAAGACAAAAGUCUAAGAAAUGCAUCUUUUCACUUGCUAUUUAUUAGGGCUGGGCGUUUUGGCCUAAAAUCAGUAUCACAAUCUAUUGAGGAGUUCACCUCGAUAACAAUAGUUGAACGAAUGCUAUCUGUAUGAGCAAAAACAAAAGUUGCCCACUAGAUGGGGCUGCCACAUGUUUUACAUUGAUUGACAUAGUCAUGUGACAUGGACAUCGCCAAGAUACACACAUCUUUUCAUUUUUUAUAUUGAAUUUAUUAACAUGGGAAAAAUGAAAUCGGUUUGAGUCAGAAAUUUUGAUCACAAAAUAUUUUCGAUAUAUUGCCCAGCCUACUAUUUAUUUAUACUUUUAUUACAGCUAUUUUUCAUGUUAGAUUAUUAUUUUUUUUUUUUCUCCUUGCCCUGUCUGGCUGUGAAGCAAACAGAAUUGAUGUCUGAAUGUUGGUGACAAGGUUUACCCACAGGUGGAGCAUAGUGCUUCAUGGUAAGAUUCUGAAAUUUGCAUAAAUUAAAGUGUUGCUAUAGAUAAAAACUACAGCAUUAAGAGCCUGGAUUCAUGAUCAUUUUUAUUACAUUGAAACCUAAUGAGCCACAGGUGUGUGUGUGUGUGUGUGUGUGUGUGUGUGUGUGUGUGUGUGUGUGUAUGGUUGUGUGUACAAGAAUGCUGUCAGCCAAAAAAAUAAUAAAGCAACAUUGAAAUUCCUUGUGCUUUUGAUCUUUUAUCCAAUUAGGAGCCAUCUCUCCUCACAUCCUCAUCAUUGCUCCUCCUCCACUUUUGUCAAAGUUAUUUCACAAAACAAGGUUGAGAAAUCUUCAAAAGACUCACUGUCUUGUUUUUUUAACCUUAUUGGUGCUUUUAAAGUGCAGAGAGGAACACAAGAGGUGCCAAGAUGAAGGAAAAACACACAUUAGACAGCCUGAAGCUUCCUGCAUGUGUUUAAAACUUAAAACUGUUCUUUUAAAGGCGACAUUUAUAUUUAAUUAUGUUCUUAUUUUUUCCCUAUGUUAAAAAAAAACACAAAAUCAUCUGCAACAUAAACUGGACAUCAGUAACUCGUACGUGUUUAGGCUAGUUUUCUAAUCACUUUAGUAAGUCAGUGAGGAUUUCAACAUCUAGAUUUCACCUAUUUGGUUUAUAAACAAUGUUUUUACCAACAGCCAUCCUGAAUGCACAUGGCCAUAGCCAUAGAUACAAGUUGGGGAUCUUAAAAGAGCCAACAAUGUAUUAUUAUUUCAGAAGAAAACAGUUUUUAAGGCACAUUGAGGAAGAAAAUGAUUUGAACACCUUGUAAUUUAGCGCAUUUAAAUAAUGUAUUUAUUUAUUAAUUCAUUGCCCUGCUGUACACGGAUAUUUGGACACCUGAGAAAAGACAGACAGAUAAAUAAUAAAAAAAAAAUCACAAAAUGCGAUUUCCAUUUUUAAAAGUUUUUAAUGCUGUCCUUCACAGAGGGAAUGCAUCUACAAUGUGAAUUUCAGGCUCCUUCCAUGAUUUCUAAGUAGGAGAGAAACACGGUGGCGGAGAAGCGUCCCUGCUGGGAAAAACCAGCAUAGACCUGCAGUUGGUAACCAGCAUACAGUGGGUGUGGAAAGUAUUCAGACCCCAGUCAAUUUUUCACCAUUUGUUAUAUUGCAGCCAUUUGCAAAAAUCUUUUUUCCCUCAUUAAUGUACACACAGCACCCCAUGUUGACAGAAAAACACAGAAUUUUAGAAAUAUAUGCAGCGUUAUUAAAAAGACAAACCACAAUGGCUUUAAGUGUUCAGACCCUUUGCUGUGACACUCAUCAUAUUCGUCUGAUCAUCCUUGAGAUGGUCUCACACCUUCAUUGGAGUCCAGCUGUGAUUGAUUAUACCGAUUGGACUUGAUUAGGAAAGCCACACACCUGUCUAUAUAGGACCUUACAGCCAGUGUUGGGAAAGUUCGUUUAAAAAACAAACUAGUUCAAAGUUCCGUUCAUACAUUUUAAAACAAACUAGUUUGUUUCUUAGUUCGUAAUUUAAAACAUUUUGAACUAAAUUCACUGUUCCAAAAACAAACUAGUUCAUAGUUCUAUUUUCUCACACACACACACACACACACACACACACACACACACACACACACACACACACACACACACACACACACACACACACACACACACACACACACACACACACAAACAUAUAACUUAUUAAAUCAUUUUCCAAUAGUUCAGUCCACACUCAUUGCCAGCUGCAAAACAUUAAAAAAAUGUAUAAUCUUUCAGUUUAGUCCCUUUUCAAUUUUUCUCAAUGAGCUUUGACUCCUGCACACAGCAUAGAUGUAGAAGAGUAGACGCUGCACCAACCGCUACUGCCUAUGUUUGGCCGCAUUUGCGGGUUCUACUUUUUAUGAACUCCAUGGUUAACAGGAUGUUUUAGCUAGGCUUUAGCUCCGGAAAAGGUCCGUGGAGAUCUAGAGCUGGAACGGCGAAAGAACGCGUUCAUAAACCUGUUUACGCACGCCAGGGCAAACUCACUCACUUUUACGUUCGUCAUGCAAAAUACGAACGAGUUCAGUUCACGUUCACGAAAAAAAACAAAUUCACGAACGAUUGUUCAAUGAAUGCGUUUGGGCACAACACGGCUUACAGCUCACAAUGCAUGUCAGAGCAAAUGAGAAUCAUGAGGUCAAAUUAACUGGCUGAAAAGCUCAGAGACAGAGUUGUGGCAAGGCAAAGAUCUAACCUAGGUUAAAAAAACUUCUCUGCUGCACUUAAGGCUCCUAAGAGUACAAUGGCCACCAUGAUCCUUAAAUGGAAGACGUUUAGGAUGACUAGAACCCUUCCUAGAGCAGGCUGUCUGGCCAAACUGAGCUACCAGGGGAGAAGAGCCUUGGUGAGAGAGGUAAAGAAGAAUCCAAAGUCAGAGCCCUCAGGGAAUGGGAGAAAGUUGCAGAAGGUCAACCAUUACUGCAGCCCUCCACCAGUCAGGGUUUUAUAGCAGAGCGGCCCAUUGGAAGCCUGUCCUCAGUGCAAGACACAUGAAGGCCCACAUGGAGUUUGCUAGAAGACUCCUGAAGAACCCUGAGAUGGUAAGAAAUGAGAUUCUCUGGUCUGAGACCAAGAUAAAACAUUUUGGCCUCAAUUCUAAGCAGUUUGUGUGGAGAAAACCAGACACUGCUCAUUACUUGUCCACAGCCAUCCCCAAAGUGAAGCAUGGUGGUGGCAGCAUCAUUCUGUGGGGAUGUUUUUCAGCUGCAGGGACAGGAUGACUGGUUGCAAUUGAGGGGACGAUGAAUGCAGCCAAGUACAGGGAUAUCCUGGACAAGAGCCUUCUCCUGCGUGCUCAGGACCUCAGACUGGGCCAAAGGUUUACCUUCCAACAUAACAAUGACUCAAAGCAUGGCCCAGCCAGAGCCCUGACUUAAACUGAAUUGAGCAUCUCUAGAGAAACCUAAAAAUGGCUGUCCACUAACGUUCACCAUCAGCCUGACAGAACUGGAGAGGAUCUGGAAGGAGGAAUGACAGAGGAUUCCCAAAUCCAGGUGUAAGAAAAUUGUUGCAUCUUUACCAAGAAGACUUGUGGCUUUAUUAGCUCAAAAGAUGCUUCUACUGAGCAAAAGGUCAGAAUACUUAGGACCAUGAUAUAUUUCAGUUUCUUUUUUAAUAACUAGCAGAAAUUUCUAAAAUUCUGUCAAUACGGGGUGCUGUGUGUACGUUAAUGAGGGAAAAAAUUAAUUUAAUUGAAUUUAGCGAAUGGUUGCAAUAAAAGGGAGUGAAAAAUUGACUGUGGCCUGAAUGCUUUCCGCACCCACUGUAUGCUGUGUUUUGAUGCUGGUUUAGCUUAUGGACCAGCAUUGCAUGCUGAUUCAACAUGGGAUGCUGGUCAAGCGUGCUGGGUCAGCAUCCAGUCAUUAGCAUUACAUGCUGGACCAACAUACCGGCAUCAAAACACAACACAUGCUGUUUUUCCAGAAGGGGUGAAGUAUGCUUUCGUCACCUCGCUUUCUGAUUGGAUAGAUGUUCGUUUCAGCAGGCAGCACGUUAGUUUGACCCCAAAAAUCAGACCAGGCCAAUCGAAAAUGUUUGAUCAUAAAUCCGGGCUUUCAGAGUGGUCCCAACAGCCAUUUAGAGGUCUUUGAACACACCACACAAGAUAGGAUUGUCUGAUAAGAUAAACUUUAGAGCUAUUCUUGGACAACUUUAAUAUUUUCAGAAGGGGCAUGGCUGGUCAAAAAAAUGGCAUGAUUAUCUUGCUGUGUGAACCGUGCUUCUGAAGAAUCUUCAACAUCACUACCAUGUCUUCCACUGUCUCACCCAUUAAUGGAUGUUUGAUAGUUUUUUUUUUUUACAUUUUCUAUGAAAAAGCAGGAAAUCAGGUGGUCUUCUCUUUUGGCUUUCCCUUUCAGGGGUCAUCUGUCCCCAUUCUAAAAAUUAUAGCUCAUUCGAUUGUGUUGAGUCUGUAUUUUUGUCUAAUUAUGUUGUGUUCCUGUUGUUUGCCCUUCCAGUAUCAUUUGUAAUCAGAAUAUUUUUGGCCUCUGUAUUCGUCUGGUAUUGUCUUACAGCCUGUUCUUUUCUGGGGCUUCAGUCUGACUCGUCUCAGUGAUGAGCUGUUUUGGUGACGGCUUUUGUUAAGGUGGCACAAACUGUAAAUCUGCAAAUCGUGAAUACAAAACCAUGUCCAAACAUGUAAGCAGCUUUAUUAAAUUAAAAACAAGAGAAUCCCCCAGUGUUGUUAGCUACCGUGGCCUUGCAAAUAAAUACAAAUUCCCCUGUGGUCAUAAUAAUGUGACAGUUUUUGAGAUGUUGUCUUUGCAGAAAAAGAAAGAGAGUAAAGAAAAGUGAAAAGUUUCAGAUAUAAUUAAUUCUUAGAGGUAGUUUGUGAAGGAAAACAACCCACAAAAUAAUAAACUAUGAAUAUGUCACAAGCUAAACCAUGUAAAAAACACCACAGUCAAUUAAGAAACACAGAUGUCCACUUCUUGUGUUUCAGCUGGCUGCUUGUUUCUUCUUUAAGCCGCGUUUGGAUCUAAUUCUUCAUGCUGGAAAUGCAUUUGGGGUCUUGUGUUCUCACCAGCUAAGGCAGUAUUUGAUGCAUUCUCAGCUGGCAAAUAAUUCACUGGAACCCAUAUAGCCAGACAGUGAGAGAUGGUCAUUUUAAAAUCUGAAAUGUGGCUGGGUUGCAGGAAAGGUACACCUUCACAGGAUUUUGCAUGUCAGCCCUUUUCUGAACAUUUUGCUUUCCAUAAAAAUAAAAGUAAGCGCCUUGAGGUUUCUUCAGAGAGGAGAUGUCAGCCGUGUGAUGUUUGUGGUUGCCUGUUGCAGGCUUCUGUUUGAACGUUACAAGGUGCCAAAGUGUCUGACAGGUACAUGCUGCUGAAUGGGAGAAUAACCUGAAAGUUCAUGAUCGGCCAGUCCUGAGUGCAGCCGCGAGUCACUCGACUGUCUAAAACUUAUCCUAUAUUCCCCUUGGUCGGG